rnacentral:sRNA from 1 species
UCAAAGUAGUUCAUCAAGAGGGUUCAACUCGGUUAAAUUUCGAUUGAGACCUACUUGACUAAGUUUUGUUUGUGGUCUUCCCAGUUUAAUUUAGUCAAUUUUAUGUUGGGGUGGACUUAACCAAAUUUCGAUUAUGCUUGUCCCAGUGGAACUAGAUCGAAUUUUGGCCUUGACCCAUUUUGAGAUUUUGCCAGAUUUGAUCUAUCUAAACCUUUUGCUUGACCCGACUCAUAUCAACCUUUUAAUUUUGUUGUUUAUGAAAGAACUUAUGUUUUUGAGUAAAACAAAUCUUUCUUAUCUACUUAAUUUUUAUUUUUUUCAAGGUUUUUAAAU